GACGAACCGUGCGAACGUUGUUCGGAAUCACUGGGCUUAAAGGGCGCGUAGGCGGCUUCCCAAGCCCGGGGUGAAAUCUUUCGGCUUAACCGGAAAAGGGCUUCGGGGACUGGGGGGCUAGAGGGAGGUAGGGGCAAGCGGAACUUCCGGUGGAGCGGUGAAAUGCGUUGAGAUCGGACGGAACGCCGACGGCGAAAGCAAGGUCCUGGACUCGUACCGACGCUGAGGCGCGAAAGCCAGGGGAGCGAACGGG
rnacentral:rRNA from 1 species